rnacentral:pre_miRNA from 1 species
UUUUUAUUGGAUGAGGAUUGUCAUGUGUCAUAUUCUGAUUGGUUAAUAAAAAUAACAAUUCAUUUCAUCUUUCAUGGAGUUGACAUCCAAUCAAAACAUGACAAGUGACAAUCAUCAUCC